GAAAGCAUCUAAGCACGAAACUUGCCCCGAGAUGAGUUCUCCCUGACUCCUUGAGAGUCCUGAAGGAACGUUGAAGACGACGACGUUGAUAGGCCGGGUGUGUAAGCGCAGCGAUGCGUUGAGCUAACCGGUACUAAUGAACCGUGAGGCUUAACCUUACAACGCCGAAG
rnacentral:rRNA from 2 species